rnacentral:rRNA from 1 species
GGUUGCGAUCAUACCAGCACUAAUGCACCGGAUCCCAUCAGAACUCCGCAGUUAAGCGUGCUUGGCGAGAAUAGUACUAGGAUGGGUGACCCCCUGGGAAGUCCUCGUGUUGCAACCC